AGGAGGAACAGCCCCAGUGGCGGGGCCAGCUCUGCAGCCCUGGAGUCAGCUCCCCGCAGUAGCUCCAGAGCUCUCCGUCUGCAGGGCCUGGAGGCUCCGGGCGGGG
rnacentral:pre_miRNA from 1 species